CAUAACCUCGGGAACCUGGGUAUAAUACCCGAUAGGUCUCGAUUGCUGGAAUGCAUCGAGAUUUAAAGCUCCGGCGCCUAAGGAUGGGUCUGCGGCCUAUCAGGUAGUAGUGGGUGUAGCGUACCUACUAGCCUACGACGGGUACGGGUUGUGAGAGCAAGAGCCCGGAGAUGGAUUCUGAGACACGAAUCCAGGCCCUACGGGGUGCAGCAGGCGCGAAAACUUUACAAUGCUGGCAACAGCGAUAAGGGAACCUCGAGUGCCAGGUUACAAAUCUGGCUGUCGAGAUGCCUAAAAAGCAUUUCAUAGCAAGGGCCGGGCAAGACCGGUGCCAGCCGCCGCGGUAACACCGGCGGCUCGAGUGGUAACCGUUAUUAUUGGGUCUAAAGGGUCUGUAGCCGGCCGGAUAAGUCUCUUGAGAAAUCUGGCAGCUUAACUGUCAGGCUUUCAGGAGAUACUGUCUGGCUCGAGGCCGGGAGAGGUGAGAGGUACUUCAGGGGUAGGGGUGAAAUCUUGUAAUCCUUGAAGGACCACCAGUGGCGAAGGCGUCUCACCAGAACGGACCUGACGGCAAGGGACGAAAGCUAGGGGCACGAACCGGAUUAGAUACCCGGGUAGUCCUAGCCGUAAACGAUACUCGCUAGGUGUCGGCCGCGGUGCGACCGUUGUCGGUGCCGUACGGAAGCCGUGAAGCGAGCCACCUGGGAAGUACGGCCGCAAGGCUGAAACUUAAAGGAAUUGGCGGGGGAGCACCACAACGGGUGGAGCUUGCGGUUUAAUUGGAUUCAACGCCCGGAAAUCUUACCGGGACCGACAGCAAUAUGAACGCCAGGCUGAAGACUUUGCCGGAUUAGCUGAGAGGUGGUGCAU
rnacentral:rRNA from 1 species